UGGUCAGCAGGGCAGCCACUGCCCUCAUUGCAGAGCGCUUCAGUUCAUCUUGCUUUUCAAACUCCUGCUUCACAGAACCAGCUUUGACCUAAAGUAGGAAACAGCAGAAGCAGCCAUCCUUUAUUGAGCCUGGCCCACACCACUGCCUCCUCACUGGUCUUUGGCUUCCUCUCUGCCCCAUCAUCUUCCCCAACAUAAAUCCCUGCUGCGAGGUCUCCUGAGGCUUCUGUCUCACCAGCUAUUUCCUAACUCCACCUCUGGGCUUUUGCACUGGCUAGUUUCCCCACAGAGGUUCUUUGCCAUUCAAAUCAGCUUGAGUACAGCCUGAGGGGCCUCUGAGCAGCCAAUCUGAAGUGCUCGCUUUUUGUUAAUUGACAGUGGCAAGUACUGUGUUCCCAUACUUACCUCCUACAGACUGCAGGGAUCCAGCCUAUAUUUGCUGUGCUUAAAACCAGCUCUUAGCACCAUAUGACUAGACUGAAUGAAUGGAUCACUGCGAUGGUCUUCUAGCAGCCUCCUCCCCAUACUCAAGUCCCUGCCCCGCAAUCAGUUUUGCAGAUGCAGCCGGAGUGUAAGCACCCCAAACUACCUCCUGCAGUUUCUGUUUCCUCUUCCCCCACCAUCUCCUACCUAGGCAGAGGAGCUCAGUAAUUCCUCCACUGCUUAUGGACUAAAGUUCAAGUUCCUUAUUAUGCUGGGCUCUUCCUAAAGAAUUCAAUGCAGUGGGUAACAGCUUGGCAUUGGAGUUGCAGAGUCCUGUGUUCAAAUGGCUCUGCCCCCAAGAGCUGUGACUUCAGGUAACUACAUCUUUGAGCCUCAUUUCCCCAUCUAUAAGUAAGAGCUGCCUCGUCGUAAGAGUUGCCAAGAGGAUUAAACGACACAAGUCCACACUCCCUUCUCUGAAACCCCUGGAGCCAGAUGUGCUUUGGAAUCCAAGACAUUUUGGGUUUUAGAAAGGUAUUUACUAGGUACCACGUAGGUGCGCCAGGCUCUGCUCCCAACGCCAGCUUUCCAUGAGGGCUUGCACCCCACAUCCCUCCUCCAGACCCUUCAGGCACUCCAGUCUAGCAGCAGCUUUGUCCUAGACCAGUCAUCUGACCCAGCUUCCCAACAAGGAGGUGAGAGAUUGACAGUAGGGAACCUAUCAGGCUCAAUGUUACAUCUUUAGUAUCUCCCACGAGGCUCAGCACCCAGGAAGUGUUUAAUGAAUGGAAGGAGAGACAGAGGUGGGUCUGAAUCCAGCUCUGCAAUUUACUAGCUGUGUAGCCUUGGCCAAUAACAACUUCUCAAAGCCUCUGUUCCCCUGUGUAUACAAUGAUAAUAAGAGGUACUUUAUAGGGCAAUGACAAUGAUUAAAUGAAGCACUUUCACAACAUCACCUGCACUGCAGGAAGUGCUCAGUAAGGGUAACUGAACGACUGGCCGAGGACUCCAUAGGUGCUCCAGGGCCUGGGCUAGGGCUGGGCCAGGGACUUACCUUGGCAGUGCAGGUGGCCCUUAGUGGCUCAAUGAGUCGGUCCACCCUCUGCAGGACAGGUGCAGGACACAGGGUGGCCAGCCGGGCAACCAUGAUGAAGGUCAGCAUCUGCCCAGAGGAAGGAGAUGGUUCUUAGUGAAAUGGUGCAGGAGCAAGAGCAGCAGCCAGCCCUGGGAAAGAGCAGAGGCCCCACAACUGAAACCUGAAGCCCAAGUUCAGACCACCGUGAAGUCCUGCCAGAGUCUCUCCCUCUCUGGGUCUGUUUCCUCAAAUGGUGACACUUUCUUUGCCAACUACACUUGGAUGACCCAAGGAGGAUCAGAAAAGCACCAGGGAGGGAGUCGUUCUCAAGCUCAGAUGCCCACCAGUCAGGCAGAUGCUGGGGAUGAGUGAAGGGGGCUGCUGGGGCAGCUCUGGCUGAGUGUGGCCAGGUGGGAGUGCAAACAUGUAGCUUGGGGCCACUGGAUUGUUUUCAAAAGAAAUCCCAAUUUUCAUGUAAAAAAAAAGUCUCGAUUUUUAAAUGUUGACACCUGAUUUCAAAACCAAACAAAAACUUUUAACAACAACUAAACAUGGCUGCAGGCCUAGAUUCAGCCUGUAGGGGAAUAAUUGUCCUGUCUUUUGAAAAUAGUCAAGUCCUCACAAAGAAGCCUUGCACACCAUAAAGACUGGUUGUCUGAAAUCCCCACGCCCUACCCAUCUCCACACCCUGACCCCUAAGCCCCACAGCAAAGGAGGAGGCCCAGCCCACGGCAGCAAGGAGCAGCGGUGCUGGACUUCAGGAGCUAUGACUCUUGGCUACUCCAUGACCCUGUGCCCUAGAACUAGACAAGAUUCCGUCUCCCCUGUGAACUGGGCGGUGUUCACUCCCUCUCUAAAGGCUCACUUGAAGACUUGAUGACGCAAAGCUGUGGGCUCUAUAGCUGUAACACCCACCCUCCUCACCCCAGGGGGUGGCAGCAGAGUGGACUCCAAGGCUGCACUGGUGCCUAGGCCCUGUCCUGCGCUCCUGGAGGGCAGGCAUGAGAGGAUAUGGCCAGACUGGAUGGAAGAAACAGACUUGCUCGAUCCUGGAGAAAAAUCCCCACAAGGUGGAGCUUUGGGCUGGCCCAGAACUCCUCACUCUGUGUCCUGGGGUCAGUAGCCCCACAAGAUGCCUAAUACCAGGCACACCCAGAUGAUGGAAGCUGAGUACACCCCUCCCGUCUGGAGCCUCCCGGAACCCUGUGGUGGAAAGUCCUGUUCAGCUUUGUGCGCCCCAUCAUUUUCCACUAGUUUGCAUGGCAUACACUGGAAAACCCAACCCCCUUUCUCAACCAAGAUCUUGGGGCUGGAAUCCCAGAGAACUUAUGUUGUUUCUUCUUUUCUCUUUCUUGGGGGUUGGCAGGAAGCAAGAGUUUAAAGCAAUAAUAAAGCCGAGGGGGAGACAGGCAGACAGGAAGUGCAGGAAGGAGCGUCCCAGGAACUCCAAGUCUGGAGUGGUCAGAGGCACGCCCGCUGCAGGAGGUGCAGCCUCACCACGCGCAUCGGAUGCUUUAGCAGGAACAUGCACUCCACCCUAGAAGCCCACCGAUCACACCGUGGGUCACAGUAAUGCACCAGGGUGUUCACAGCAGCAUUGUCUGUAAUUGUGAAAAUGUGCAAAUAACAUACAUGUGUAGCAGUGAGUGCAACAGAAAUGGGAACUCCUGCAGCUGUUGACAGGACUGAUAUAUAUUGAAAAGCAAAGCAAACAACAUACAGUAAAUGUAAGUUAAAAGGCUGGGGAAAAAAACAGCAUGUGUGUGAUCCCAUUUCUAGAAAACAGGUCUCAUAAACUCAUCUCCACAGCUUUGAGAACAGGGACCCCACCUCUCACAUUGACCUUGGCGUGUUGGCACUCACUUAAUACUGGCUGACUAAUGAAUGAGGGUCUAUGUGCAUCAUCCCAAGAAACACACUGAGACAGCAGGCCUCUCUGGGUGUGGAGAAGCUUUUGGGUGAUUAUUACUUGCUUCUUUAUUUGCUUUCAUCUUGUGUAAAUCUUUUAAAACAAGUAUGGGUUACUUUUGAUUACUUUGUAUUAAUUUUUCCUUAUAAAAAGUGACUCACGCUUACAGUACAUAUUUUUUAAAGUUGUAAUAUGGGGCCGGGCGUGGUGGCUCAUGCCUGUAAUCCCAACACUUUGGGAGGCCGAGGUGGGUGGGUCACCUGAGGUCAGGAGUUCAAGACCAGCCUAGCCAACAUGGCGAAACCCUGUCUCUACUAAAACAUAUAAAAAUUAGCCGAGCGUGGUGGUGCACAUCUGUAAUCCCAGCUACUCAAGAGGCCGAGGCAGGAGAAUCACUUGAACCCGGGAGGCGGAGGUUGCAGUGAGCCAAGAUUGCACCAAUGCACUCCAGCCUGGGCCAUAAAGUGAGACUCCAUCUCAAACAAAUAAAUAAAAACUUAAAAAUAAAGUUGUAGUAUAGCAGUUCCUUAAGACAUUAAACACAGAAUUGCCGUAUGAUCCAGCAAUUUCACUUCUGGGUAAAGUGAAGAGAACUGAAGGCAGGAUUCCAAAGGAUAUCGGAACACCUAGGUUCACAGUCGCAUUACUCAUAAUAGCCAGAAGCU
rnacentral:lncRNA from 10 species